rnacentral:tRNA from 1 species
ACUUGAAUAGUUUAAUUAAAAUAUUGAUUUGUGGAGUCAAUGAUAUAGAAUCUAUUUUAGGUC